rnacentral:rRNA from 1 species
CCCUUAGAUGUCCUGGGCCGCACGCGCGCUACACUGACAUGUUCAACAAGCCUCCUAGUUCGACAGGAUUUGGGAAAUCUUUGAACGCAUGUCGUGAUAGGGAUAGAUCAUUGCAAUUAUUGAUCUUGAACGAGGAAUUCCUAGUAAACGCGAGUCAUCAGCUCGCAUUGAUUACGUCCCUGCCCUUUGUACACACCGCCCGUCGCACCUACCGAUUGAAUGUUUCGGUGAAGAUUCCGGAUAGGACUUUUUUGAUUUAUUUCAAUUUUGUCUUAAAAGCUAUCUAAACCUCAACAUUUAGAGGAAGGUGAAGUCGUAACAA